CCUACGGGAGGCAGCAGUAGGGAAUCUUUCACAAUGGGCGAAAGCCUGAUGGAGCAACGCCGCGUGCAGGAUGAAGGCCUUCGGGUUGUAAACUGCUUUUAUAAGCGAGAAAUAUGAUGGUAACUUAUGAAUAAGGAUCGGCUAACUACGUGCCAGCAGCCGCGGUCAUACGUAGGAUCCGAGCAUUAUCCGGAGUGACUGGGUGUAAAGAGUUGCGUAGGUGGCAUAAUAAGUAGCUAGUGAAAUCUGGUGGCUCAACCAUUCAGACUAUUAGCUAAACUGUUAAGCUCGAGACCGUUAGGGGUAACUGGAAUUUCUAGUGUAGGAGUGAAAUCCGUAGAUAUUAGAAGGAACACCAAUAGCGUAGGCAGGUUGCUGGGACGGUUCUGACACUCAGGCACGAAAGCGUAGGGAGCAAACAGGAUUAGAUACCCCAGUAGUC
rnacentral:rRNA from 1 species